UAUAUUUAUCGAAUUGAAUAUGUGAUUGGAUGUAAUCAUUGGAUAUUCUAAACCUUUCUAAUCAAUGGUAAUCACUCCUACUAUAAGAACUGAUUCCAAACCCCUGAUGAAGUCCUAACGGACGAAACGCGUUGGGUUUUGCAACGUCUGGUUAACAAAGUCCUUAUCACAAACAUCUGGUUGGAGAUACAUCCAUUUCGAGUUCUGACUGAUCACCUGGCUGUAAAAUCCUCACAUCCAACUGUAAUUUAUGUAUAAGAUUGUAAUAUUGUUUUAUAUGAAUUUUUAGAAGGUUGUGUCAAUAACGAACGCUUAGGAUAAAUAUCGUUUGUUUCUGUACAAUAAAAACUUUUAAUUAUUGUCAUACAAAAGGCA